AAUAGGAGAAUGACAAAUUAGAUUUUUUUUCUCUUGAUUUUAAGCUUUUUCCUCUUGAAAAAAAAUUCAAAUCCAAUUGAAACUGUUAAAAAUCAAGAGGGAAAAUCUAAUUUAUCAUUCUCCUAUU
rfam:Gossypium raimondii Chr09_contig_1300, whole genome shotgun sequence.